rnacentral:lncRNA from 1 species
AUGACAAGGAAGAGGGAGUAUCCUAGGGAGACCCUAAAGAGCUAUGAAAUUUCCCACGGUGUCCCUAGGGACAGUGUUGGGGAAAAAGAUGAAUUGCUUCAGCUCAGUCCAUUUUUAAGACAUUCUGUUCUGAAGAGGACAUUCAAUGUCACUCUACCAAAUCCUUCCCUGAUCAAGAGAGAAAACACUUUUACUACAGGACAAAAAGCCAAACAAAAACGCUCAGGAAGCAAAGUAAAAUCUUCUAAAUGGGUGAGAAGAAAUUAGCCCAGUCCUCCAAUUGAUCUUGUGAAGAAAAUUGUACCUUACAGCAGGGGUUCUACUGAUAAACAAUGAACACUACAAAUCACUUAUCAGUUUACUUUUAAUCAAUAAAACUUCUCGCAAUACAUUAUUCCA